rnacentral:rRNA from 1 species
GCUUGCUGGAUGCUGACGAGCGGCGGACGGGUGAGUAAUGCAUAGGAAUCUGCCCGAUAGUGGGGGAUAACCUGGGGAAACCCAGGCUAAUACCGCAUACGUCCUACGGGAGAAAGGGGGCUCCGGCUCCCGCUAUGGGAUGAGCCUAUGUCGGAUUAGCUAGUUGGUGAGGUAACGGCUCACCAAGGCCACGAUCCGUAGCUGGUCUGAGAGGAUGAUCAGCCAGGUCGGGACUGAGACACGGCCCGAACUCCUACGGGAGGCAGCAGUGGGGAAUAUUGGACAAUGGGGGAAAGCCUGAUCCAGCCAUGCCGCGUGUGUGAAGAAGGCCCUCGGGUUGUAAAGCACUUUCAGCGAGGAAGAACGCCUAGCGGUUAAUACCCGCUAGGAAAGACAUCACUCGCAGAAGAAGCACCGGCUAACUCCGUGCCAGCAGCCGCGGUAAUACGGAGGGUGCAAGCGUUAAUCGGAAUUACUGGGCGUAAAGCGCGCGUAGGUGGCUUGAUAA